UUGGAGGCUGGGGCUGGGUGGCCUCUGGCCCCAGACCAGCAAGCAGAGUCAAGGCAAGAGAAAGGGAAGGGGAGGUUGGAGAAGGCAGAAGGGGGCCUUGGCAAGACUGUGGGGUUGAGCCUGGGAAGAAAGGCCUGGAGGAAUUGAAGUGGAAGGGCUUUGAGUCAACAUCAGGAAAGAAGGAAAAGCAGAGACUGAUCAAGGCAGGGCUUGUGGUCCGGAGACAUGACCUGCCCCAGGCGUUCAGGACGAGGUUGCAGCCCCGGAACAGUGCCGCCAGGGGUCUAGCAGUUACUAACCUCUCCAAACUGGUUAGGCUCCAAGGGCAGCAGCAGAGGGAGUAGAGGACCUGACUUGUAGUGUUUGCCAGCAUGCAAAUACUCCCACCGUGGCCGAUUACGAACCACAGCCAUGAAGUCACCGAACACAGAGCUGGGAAGAGGUGCACACAAUGAACUGUUGCCUACAGUAUAUGUUGUGCCGAAGCAAGCAGAAUGCCUUACUCCAUUUAAUCUUCAUGAUCUGCUAAAAUGAAAGGGACCUUGUCCAUCUUGUUCACCAUUGUAACCCAAAGCCUACGACAGCAUCAGGACAGGACAUAAUAGGUGCUCAAUAAAUAUUGACCGAAUAAAUGCAAGACCAAUGCAAUGAGGAAGGUAUUAUUAUGAGUCCAUUUCACAGAUAAGAAAUUAAGGCUCGGGGCGCCUGGGUG